rnacentral:rRNA from 1 species
GCGGCGGACGGGUUAGUAACGCGUGGGAAUAUGCCCAAAGGUACGGAAUAGCCUCUGGAAACGGAGAGUAAUACCGUAUGUGCCCUUCGGGGGAAAGAUUUAUCGCCUUUGGAUUAGCCCGCGUUGGAUUAGGUAGUUGGUGGGGUAAUGGCCUACCAAGCCUACGAUCCAUAGCUGGUUUGAGAGGAUGAUCAGCAACACUGGGACUGAGACACGGCCCAGACUCCUACGGGAGGCAGCAGUAGGGAAUCUUAGACAAUGGGCGAAAGCCUGAUCUAGCCAUGCCGCGUGAGUGAAGAAGGCCCUAGGGUCGUAAAGCUCUUUCGCCAGGGAUGAUAAUGACAGUACCUGGUAAAGAAACCCCGGCUAACUCCGUGCCAGCAGCCGCGGUAAUACGGAGGGGGUUAGCGUUGUUCGGAAUUACUGGGCGUAAAGCGUACGUAGGCGGAUUAGUCAGUCAGAGGUGAAAUCCCAGGGCUCAACCCUGGAACUGCCUUUGAUACUGCUAGUCUUGAGUUCGAGAGAGGUGAGUGGAAUUCCAAGUGUAGAGGUGAAAUUCGUAGAUAUUUGGAGGAACACCAGUGGCGAAGGCGGCUCACUGGCUCGAUACUGACGCUGAGGUACGAAAGUGUGGGGAGCAAACAGGAUUAGAUACCCUGGUAGUCCACACCGUAAACGAU